UACGUAAGGGGCAAGCGUUAUCCGGAUUUACUGGGUGUAAAGGGAGCGUAGGCGGCAUUGCAAGUCUGAUGUGAAAGGCAGGGGCUCAACCCCUGGACUGCAUUGGAAACUGUAAGGCUAGGAUUGCAGGAGAGGUAAGUGGAAUUCCUAGUGUAGCGGUGAAAUGCGUAGAUAUUAGGAGGAACACCGGUGGCGAAGGCGGCUUACUGGGACUGUAAAUGACGCUGAGGCUCGAAAGCGUGGGGAGCGAACAGG
rnacentral:rRNA from 1 species